rnacentral:tRNA from 1 species
AUUUAAGUAGUUUAAUAAAAAUUUUGAUUUGUGGUGUCAGGGAUAUAAAAUUAAUUUUAUCUUAAGUU